rnacentral:tRNA from 1 species
GAGGGGAUAGCUCAGUGGUAGAGCGCGUGCUUAGCAUGCAUGAAGUGCUGGGUUCAAUCCCCAGUACCUACA